rnacentral:tRNA from 1 species
GAGGGUAUAACUCAGUGGUAGAGCAUGUGCUUAGCAUGCAUGAGGUCCUGGGUUCAAUCCCCAGAACCUCCA